CCAUCUUGAAAUGUUUAUACUUAUUAAACAAGUAUAUUGAUUUUAGAUUCUUUAACUUGAUUGGUACUCUUAUAGAUAAUCUCUAAUCUAUCCCAAAUUUUUUUAGCAAAAGUACAAGUUAAAAUUCUAUUCAAUUCAUUUACAUCUAAAAAAUAAUAUAAAAUAUUCAUAGCCUUUGUAUUUAGCUAGGCCAUCUUUUUUUUUAAAUCAUCCCAAUCCUUUUCAAAUUUAGGAGUGACAAUGCCAUCUAUCAUAAUAUAUAGCGGCUA
rnacentral:lncRNA from 1 species